CGCUUUCACUCCUACGGGAGGCAGCAGUGGGGAAUUUUGGACAAUGGGCGAAAGCCUGAUCCAGCAAUGCCGCGUGUGUGAAGAAGGCCUUCGGGUUGUAAAGCACUUUUGUCCGGAAAGAAAUGGCUCUGGUUAAUACCUGGGGUCGAUGACGGUACCGGAAGAAUAAGGACCGGCUAACUACGUGCCAGCAGCCGCGGUAAUACGUAGGGUCCAAGCGUUAAUCGGAAUUACUGGGCGUAAAGCGUGCGCAGGCGGUUGUGCAAGACCGAUGUGAAAUCCCCGAGCUUAACUUGGGAAUUGCAUUGGUGACUGCACGGCUAGAGUGUGUCAGAGGGGGUAGAAUUCCACGUGUAGCAGUGAAAUGCGUAGAGAUGUGGAGGAAUACCGAUGGCGAAGGCAGCCCCCUGGGAUAACACUGACGCUCAUGCACGAAAGCGUGGGGAGCAAACAGGAUUAGAUACCCUGGUAG
rnacentral:rRNA from 1 species